AGUGAACGCUGGCGGUAGGCCUAACACAUGCAAGUCGAACGGCAGCACAGGAGAGCUUGCUCUCUGGGUGGCGAGUGGCGGACGGGUGAGGAAUACAUCGGAAUCUACUCUGUCGUGGGGGAUAACGUAGGGAAACUUACGCUAAUACCGCAUACGACCUACGGGUGAAAGCAGGGGACCUUCGGGCCUUGCGCGAUUGAAUGAGCCGAUGUCGGAUUAGCUAGUUGGCGGGGUAAAGGCCCACCAAGGCGACGAUCCGUAGCUGGUCUGAGAGGAUGAACCGGCACACUGGAGCUGGAGCACGGUCCAGACUCCUACGGGAGGCAGCAGUGGGGAAUAUUGGACAAUGGGCGCAAGCCUGAUCCAGCCAUACCGCAUGGGUGAAGAAGGCCUUCGGGUUGUAAAGCCCUUUUGUUGGGAAAGAAAUCCAGCUGGCUAAUACCCGGUUGGGAUGACGGUACCCAAAGAAUAAGCACCGGCUAACUUCGUGCCAGCCGCCGCAGUAA
rnacentral:rRNA from 1 species